UUUGAAAUACAGUUUAAAGUUUAUGAAUUUAUACAAAUUAUGUCUGGUGGUAAAUAUAUAAUUGUAGAGUUUAUUGGAGAUGAAGUGGAGCCUGUUCCUUUAACAUGGUUGUCUGGGGAUAAAAAGUAUUGUUAUUAGCCGCCUUAUCAUAGUUCUUCAAAGAUAAAAAAAGCUAUUAUCACUUCUCAAAUACCUGAUACAGACAAUCGGUCUAUGCAUGAAGUCAUUCGUUUAUUUGGAACUGCAGGUAUUAAUCAACAUAUGUUAAAACUGAUAGUUGAGCAAAAAGAGGAGAUCAAGGAGCUAUGCACGGAAAUAUAAACAUGCAAUGCAAUGCUGAAUGUAGUAUUGUCAAAAUUAGGAUUAUGCUCAAACAACAGUAAGGUUCCAGAUGGUUUCAAAAUAUUAGGGAGUUAAGAAGAUACUACAAGUUUAGAUGACAAACUUGAAUGUAGUGAUUUUAAAAAUGCUAUGAUUGGUUUCCUUGGAAUAACUGGUGGAACUGAUGUGAAUGAUACAGUUAGAAACGUGUUAAAAAGUUUAUUUACGCACGAACUAGCACUUAAAAUCAACUGGAUGGGGAAAAAUGGAAAAUACAGUUUUUGCUCAUUGGCCUUAAGCAAUGUUGUAAUGCAAGCAGUUCGCUGCAAUUUUAGGGUAGCUAAUGCAACAAAUCACGAAAUAAAAAAUGCUAUUAUGAACUGGUUUUGCUAUGCCAAAGAUAGAAACGGUGGCAGGACGCAACGUUUGAAAAGACCGCAUGCUGAUCCAGAUAGUGAAGAUGAAAACAAUGACUUUAAUAAUCUACUUCUCAUUUGUUUAAAAUAAUAAUAAAGUUAA